GAAGCCUCCCGCGUUCCCCGGCAGAGCUGCGUUCUUUGACUCUCGCAGCAGAGGAGUUUGGGCAGGUGAGUUGCUCGGCAGCGGCGCCGCAUCUGAGACGCGUUUUAGCGCAGCUGCCCUGCAGGGAUGGAUUUGCCUGCACUCAAGCUGCUGCUGCCAGAGCCCCUCCGUGUCAAUCUGUGCUGCCGUUGGGUUCUGCAGCUCUCUCCAGCAAGCAUGGCAUGAGCUGAAGGAGCAGCAGGAGCAGCAUGGCCGUUCCCCAGGCAGCAGGAGGGUUCAGCCCAGCACCAGCUCAUGCGGGAGGAGCAGAUGCUGAGGAACAUCCCCCACGAGACGCAGGUGGCCAAAGAGGCUGGGUCAGGUAAGAAGCCCAGGAUAAGUUUGAGACUGCUGUAGUAUAAGCCACAAAGUUUGACACCCUUCCCAUUGGGUGUUACUAUCUUCUUACAAAGAAUGGUUCAACAAGUUCCAGAAAACAUAAGUUUUCCCCAUGAAGAAGAGAAGAUAUUGGAGCUCUGGAAAAAUCUGAAUUGUUUCCAGGAGUGGCUAAAACAAUCAAAGAAUAGACCUAGGUUUAACUCCUAUGAUGGCCCUCCCUUUGCUGCUGGCCUUCCACACUAUGGCCAUGUUCUUGCAGGAGCCAUUACAGACAUAGUAACUCGAUUUGGUCAUCAGAGUGGUUUUCAUGUUGACAGAAGAUUUGGCUGGGCUUGUCAUGGCUUCCCUGUGUGCUCCCAGGAAUAUGAGAUUGACAAGACCUUGGGCAUUAAAGGGCCGGAGGACGUGGCAAAGCUGGGGAGUAAAGAACACAACAACCAGUGCAGAGGAAUUGUAAUGAGAUACUCAAAGGAAUGGGAGUUCAAUGCCACAAGAUUGGGACAGUGGAUUGAUUUUAAAAGUGACUAUAAAACUCUCUCCUGAAUUCAUGGAGUCUGUCUGGAUUGUCAUUAAAAGGUGACCUCUCUUUCCUUCCUUGCUGGGUGUGGCCCCACAGCCCUGCCCUUGGUGUUCUGCAGUAGCAUCAGGCUCAGGGUGCCACCAGUCUGAAGCAGCA